rnacentral:rRNA from 1 species
GACGAACGCUGGCGGCGUGCUUAACACAUGCAAGUCGAACGGUGAAGCCCUUCGGGGUGGAUCAGUGGCGAACGGGUGAGUAACACGUGAGCAACCUGCCCCUGGCUCUGGGACAACCACUGGAAACGGUGGCUAAUACCGGAUACGACCCGCCUCGGCAUCGAGUGUGGGUGGAAAGUUUUUCGGCGGGGGAUGGGCUCGCGGCCUAUCAGCUUGUUGGUGAGGUGAAGGCUCACCAAGGCGACGACGGGUAGCCGGCCUGAGAGGGCGACCGGCCACACUGGGACUGAGACACGGCCCAGACUCCUACGGGAGGCAGCAGUGGGGAAUAUUGCACAAUGGGCGAAAGCCUGAUGCAGCGACGCCGCGUGAGGGAUGACGGCCUUCGGGUUGUAAACCUCUUUCAGCUCCGAAGAAGCGAAAGUGACGGUAGGAGCAGAAGAAGCACCGGCUAACUACGUG